rnacentral:rRNA from 1 species
CCCCAUGGCGGCGUGCUAUACAUGCAGUCGAGCGAACUGAUUAGAAGCUUGCUUCUAUGACGUUAGCGGCGGACGGGUGAGUAACACGUGGGCAACCUGCCUGUAAGACUGGGAUAACUUCGGGAAACCGAAGCUAAUACCGGAUAGGAUCUUCUCCUUCAUGGGAAAUGAUUGAAAGAUGGUUUCGGCUAUCACUUACAGAUGGGCCCGCGGUGCAUUAGCUAGUUGGUGAGGUAACGGCUCACCAAGGCAACGAUGCAUAGCCCACCUGAGAGGGUGAUCGGCCACACUGGGACUGAGACCCGGCCCAAACUCCUACGGGAGGCAGCAGUAGGGAAUCUUCCGCAAUGGACGAAAGUCUGACGGAGCAACGCCACGUGAGUGAUGAAGGCUUUCGGGUCGUAAAACUCUGUUGUUAGGGAAGAACAAGUACGAGAGUAACUGCUUGUACCUUGACGGUACCUAACCAGAAAGCCACGGCUAACUACGUGCCAGCAGCCGCGGUAAUACGUAUGUGGCAAGCGUUAUCCGGAAUUAUUGGGCGUAAAGCGCGCGCAGGCGGUUUCUUAAGUCUGAUGUGAAAGCCCACGGCUCGACCGUGGAGGGUCAUUGGAAACUGGGGAACUUGAGUGCAGAAGAUAAAAGCGGAAUUCCACGUGUAGCGGUGAAAUGCGUAGAGAUGUGGAGGAACACCAGUGGCGAAGGCGGCUUUUUGGUCUGUAACUGACGCUGAGGCGCGAAAGCGUGGAG